rnacentral:rRNA from 1 species
UACGUAGGGUGCAAGCGUUGUCCGGAAUUAUUGGGCGUAAAGAGCUCGUAGGCGGUUUGUCGCGUCUGCUGUGAAAACUCGGGGCUUAACCCCGGGCCUGCAGUGGGUACGGGCAGACUAGAGUGCGGUAGGGGAGACUGGAAUUCCUGGUGUAGCGGUGAAAUGCGCAGAUAUCAGGAGGAACACCAAUUGCGAAGGCAGCUCGCUGGGACGUAACUGACGCUGAGACGCGAAAGCGUGGGGAGCAAACAGG